rnacentral:lncRNA from 1 species
CUUCCACAUCUUACAGGAAGGGUGGGAUGAAUGGGAGACUUCUGAUUUGCUUCUUCUCUGAUAAGAGGGUUAAAAUUUGGAGGAUGCGAGACUAGCUUCUGUUUCGCAGAAGGUUAGAGAACAGAAGAAUCUUGAUAGGAAGUGUCAAAUAAUGGCAGUGGGAAGGGAGGACGAUAUGGGCCUGGGGCCUGAGGAGGAAAGUAAGAGGGUGACAGGGGACUGCCCCAGACUGAGGACUGACCUGGGGCUUUAAUGUGGCAGGAGGGUGUGGGUUCCCAGACUUACCCACUCAGAGCCUGGAAAGUGUCCAUCUUUAACUCUGCCUCAGCUUGGAGCUGCCAGCACAGUCUUGGAGCUGAAGGAGCCCUCUUUCUGUCCUGGAGACUGGCAUAUCCUUGA